CUCCAUUUACCUUUGGGACCUGUCAGCUGUGGCAUACUCCCUUUUGUAGCCAUAGAAGAGCUUUUUAUUUAUUGGAAAAGCUGUUAACCUUUAUAUAGUAUCAGAGUCUGACUUGCACAAGUAACAUUC